rnacentral:rRNA from 1 species
GACGAACGCUGGCGGCGUGCUUAACACAUGCAAGUCGAGCGGUAAGGCCCUUUCGGGGGUACACGAGCGGCGAACGGGUGAGUAACACGUGGGUGACCUGCCCUCAGCUCUGGGAUAAGCCUGGGAAACCGGGUCUAAUACCGGAUAUGACUCCAUGACGCAUGUUGUGGGGUGGAAAGCCUUGUGCGGCUGAGGAUGGGCCCGCGGCCUAUCAGCUUGUUGGUGGGGUGAUGGCCUACCAAGGCGACGACGGGUAGCCGGCCUGAGAGGGCGACCGGCCACACUGGGACUGAGACACGGCCCAGACUCCUACGGGAGGCAGCAGGUGGGGAAUCUUGCGC